UGGGGUGUUGUGGCCAGGCGCAGUGGCUCACCUGUAAUUCUCAAUCCAGCAAUCUAUCAGCUCACAAAGAAGGGUUUGGCAGAGUCAGAAUGGAUCUGAAGCAGCACAGCAGAAAUAAAAACAGAGCUAGGGACAUAAUCUAGGAAAAGGUUGGGAUUGAAAGGGUGGAGGAUGGUUGUCAAAAAGGGAGAUUUUCUGUUUACUUGAGAUCUGCAGAGUAGGUCCAAGUGUCCUCGUCGUAGGUGAACACACGUGCACACACACAAAUGGUAACUGUGUGUGAUGAUGGACGUGCUGAUUAAUUUGAUUGUGGUAAUGGUUUCACAAUAUACCCCCAUAUCAAAUCAUCACACUGCAUACCUUGAAUGUAUGCAAUUUUGGGGGAUCAAUUAUGCCCCAAUAAAGCCUAAAAUAAAAAAAAAUUAAAAAAAAAAAAAGGAAGCUCAUCAAGGUGACCUGUCUACAGAGGCAAGGACAGGGACUGAGCUUCAGGAGCUCUAGUUUGCCUGCUGGGUAGGGACAGAUGUUUAAGUUAAAAGUCUCUGAAAGAGGCGGGUCUGGAUCUCCUGGGGAGAGUGUUUGGCAUUCCCUAGUAAGAAAGAGAAAAAAAAAAGGUGGUCUUGAGGUCAGGAAGGCUGGUGGCUUCAUAGCUGUCUGGGAUCCUUGGGGCAAGGCAAGGGGCUCCUGCUUGCACCUUCAGCCUGGUUGAUGAGCUGACAGGCUGGUGGCCCCAGAAGCCCCCCUGGACAGUAGCACCCACUGGACCCUAACACCCAUCUCCACCACCAGGGAGGAGGAAGGGCAAGCCAUGUCUGACUGCCCCUUCAAGCACUGGCUCCAAGAGAGCAGUGGGUGAUGGGGAAGAGCCUGCCUGCUCCCAGCCCCCCUCCCUGGGAGCCAGCAGCCCUGAGGAGCAUGGGCAGGCAGUACUGAGCUCCUCAACCCGACUCUCCUCCCUAUCCCAAGAAGCCCUUUGAAAGGUUUUCCUGGCAGAGUUUAAAGCUUCAAUUCAUUCAGCUACCUGGCAUGAGGCCCAGGAUGAGGGGAUGCUGGGAAGGACCUAGCCCCACACCCCUACUCUUACCUUAGCUGCCCCCACUUUCCUGGGACCCUGGCUAGCAGGCCUCCCACUGGCCUCUCUCCAUCCAGUAGCACCCACCCCUGUUCC
rnacentral:lncRNA from 1 species